CGUGGGUAACCUGCCCCGAUGACCGGGAUAACCCGAGGAAACUCGGGCUAAUACCGGAUGUGUUCUCUGCGCAUCAGCGCGGAAAGCAAAGGAAGCUUCGGCCUCCGCAUCGGGAUGGGCCCGCGGCCCAUUAGCUUGUUGGUGAGGUAAAGGCUCACCAAGGCAACGAUGGGUAGCUGGUCUGAGAGGACGAUCAGCCACACUGGGACUGAGACACGGCCCAG
rnacentral:rRNA from 1 species